UACAGAGGUCUCAAGCGUUGUUCGGAUUCAUUGGGCGUAAAGGGUGCGUAGGCGGCGCGGUAAGUCGGGUGUGAAAUCUUGGAGCUUAACUCCGAAACUGCAUUCGAUACUGCCGUGCUUGAGGACUGGAGAGGAGACUGGAAUUUACGGUGUAGCGGUGAAAUGCGUAGAUAUCUGGAGGAACACCGGUGGCGAAGGCGGCAUCCUGGACCGGCAUUGACGCUGAGGCGCGAAAGCCAGGGGAGCAAACGGG
rnacentral:rRNA from 1 species